ACAUGGGUGAGGACAUGGCUAGACUCGGACGCUCGAGAAAUUAGUUAAUGGCUUCGAUAAGCUCCUUAUCUCUGAGUAUUCAUAGAUAUGAAUGUUACUUGGAGCAGAGAUAAUGAAAUGUCCAACGUCUUGUCUGAUGGUUUCCGAGCCUUGGAGCACGAAGCAAACCCUAAGACCUAACUCAAAUUUAACAUCGAGCAUGCAGCCGAAGAAACUAAAAUGGGCGUGAUUCAGAGUCAGCAUGCGUGACUUCAUGAGAGAGAAAGUGGAAUGAAUACAUGGGCAUAUAUGACAUCUACAUCGCAAGCACAUUUCCCAUGUAUUUCUUUUCUACUCUUUUAUAUGGUACUGCCCAUUCCGGCAAUGAUUGACGCAUUCGGCGCAACUCCGAUGGUUGAGAUCACAAAACCAACACCAUUUACCUCUGUCUACUCUUUGAAUGGCUUCAGAGGAACAUAGCAUUUGGUCGUUCAAAGACCAUCUCCGGAUAAUUUCAUAACCACACGGUGACCCCGGGUUGCCGUAUAGGAACUUGGCCUCUGUUGAUCACCCCCACUUGGCGAGUAAGUACGGACUCGUUCCGCGAGUCAAUAAUCCCGCCUGUACGAAGUAGAUAAGCCUGGGAUUACGGUUGCAUUAAGGAGAUUGCACAUGUCGUUAAAUGGUCGGAACUUCCAGUUCUAGGCUAGUGAUUUUGUUUUAACGGAUGAUCAGCUUGUUUGUGGUCCGAAUCAUAUCAUGUACCCCGUGGAGAACCCCGAUGUGUAUACAUAUCAAGGGAUCUUUUUUUACCAACCCGAAAUUGAGAUUGUCAAUAUGCCCGAAAUUCUUUCCGGCCGUUUGCAUGUUCUUGGCUACAUGUUCUGCGUUUCAGUCCUCUCAUCCAGAUGCGUGAUACAUGGUAGUACAUCUCGAACAAGUGCCAUAUUUCCAUGCCGGUCUG
rnacentral:lncRNA from 1 species